rnacentral:lncRNA from 1 species
AGACAAUCUAGACCUGCCCAGUUACAUAGUCUCCGUAGGAGGCGAGUAAGCAGCCCUCAGUGAUUCCCGAGAGAACUCGGGUGACAUCGGAUUCACUCGGAAAUGUAGAUGUUGGGGAUUUCCGGGAUUCCUCUGAGGCGAGGUGGGAAUCAAGGAUGAGCAACAGCGACAGGGAACAGAUUCCCUCUCCCUCCUAUGUUCCUGUAGCCACCCAUCGAUCCGGAUGGUCAAGGCUAUGAGGGAGUCAAGGUCCGGGCAGCUCCCGGGCUGCGAGGUCAUCUAAAAUCACCUCCGAUAAUCUGGGAAGGAACAUGUCUAACAAGGCUUCCGUGUUCCAGGCACUCUCAGCCGCCAACGUGCGAAAAUCCACUGCGUAGUCUGCCACACUACUGGAGUCUUGACAUACCUGUUGCAGCUUACGAGUAGCCUCUCUCCCGGACAACGGAGAAUCUCACACCUUACAUACCUCCGCCACAAACUCCUCCAGUCUGAGACAAACAGCGUACUAUUGCUCCCACACCACCAUAGAUCAGGCGAGGGCACUCCCGGACAUCAGCGUUAUGAGGUAUGCUGUCUUCGUGCGGUCCAAGGGGACGAAGAAGGCUGCAGCUUGAAGAUGAGGGAUCACUGGGAGAGAAAGGCCCGGCAGGUUCCAAAAUCUCCAGCGUAGUGCUCCGGAGGGGGUAGCGAGAGAAUCCCUCCAUAAGGCAUUGCAGUAACUCCAAUGGUGGCUCCUUGCUGCGAGACAGCGUUGUGGAGCUGGGUCAGUCAUGGCCAGUUCGUACUAUGUUUUUCAAGUCAACCAGCGGUUUUCUUGUACUUCUCCUUCUAUUCUAUUUUUGCUAAUCUUCCUGGUUUUGACCCUUUCCUGUUUUCUGGACUCCGUACCCGCCUGCCUGACCGUUCUGCCGGCCGCUCUGUACCUCCUGGACUCUGAACUGGUUUUGACCUUUUGCCUGUCCAUUCUCUUGCCUACCCCUUUUAGAUGGUUUGAGUGUUUGUUUAAUAAAUAUCAAUCUGCCUCCCGUGUCUGCAUCUGGGUCUCACCUUGUGCCCUUAUAGGGCCAACUUCUUGGAAUGAAAUACAAUAACGUACGAAAACCCAAAGUGACGGUCUACUCAGAGUCCAACCCUGAGUCGAAUGUGAACACCCUGCUAUGUCUGGCUGGAGACAUGUUUCCAGACUUGGUCAAGAUCUCAUGGAAGAUGGAGGAUGAAAACGGCAGAGCAGUCGAGGUGCCUAAAGCAGAGGGGGAACAACUGGAGCAGAGGGAGGAAGGACAGACGACCAGUAUGAUCAUCACUGAUAAAGAGAAGAUUUACAGGAACAAAUACAUCUGUUCUGUGGAGCAUGAAGGGGGCCCUCAAGAUGUUUACAUGCUAAAAGAUCAACCAACUGAAGCUCCGCCAACCACCGUGGCUGCACCAACCUGUUCGUUCAGAAAUGACACACAGCAGUCACAGUCUCUACAUCUUACCGAUGAUUCCUUCCAGUCAACGUUUAGUCUGAACCUGGCCUCUAUCCUUUACACAGUGAUGAUAGUGAAGAGCAUGGUGUACUGCUGUGGGCUCUCUAUCCUGCUGCACCACAGGAGCUUGGGAAGAGGACCCAGCACCUGUAGACACAUUUAUUGAAAGGAUACCCCCCCCCCAUUUAUGGAUAGAGUUGUAGUGGGCUGGGAGUAACAUGGAUUUUACAUGCCAUUGAGGUCUAACAUUUCAUUUGUAUUGCUUUUAUUUUUCCUGCUUUAUUUUUUAGAUGCUACAAUAUUGUGAGCCAUAGAUUUCCAUGUCUUCUAAUAGCUUCAACUGCCAAAUAUGACAAUUGCAGCACAUUUAAUUGUGUAUAUGGAGUAUUGUUUCCCUCCUUAUGUGGGAGCUACCCACUGCAGACACAUGAAUAAAGAUUAAGUUAAGGUUUUCUGAAAAAUAAGCAGAGCAAAUCUUGAAUGUAAAUACAUUAUGAUUUUAAUUUAGACUUGUUUUGUUAGUUGCCCUGCAAUAUGUCAUAGAGGUAGGCCUAAAUUAUACUCACAACCUGUAUUUAAUUUAUACAAAAUAUGUCAUUAUUAAAUAUGUAGGCCCAUGAGUUCUAAAUCAUUAUCCAAUAUAAUAUUUAGUAACUUGUCUUGAAGUGUAAUUUUUCUCAAGAAAUUACUUUGUUUCACAUCUCAAUAAAUGAAUAAGAGAAUCAAUUUUUGCUUUAAAUUCUAAAUGCUGAGUGCUUAUUGAGCAUAAAAAUUGGGCUAUGCGCAAAAUAAUUUAUUGGUGCUUUUGUACAUUAAUACAAUGUUUUUUUAUACAGCUUUUAUGAAGAGUAACACAGCCUGCUCAAAUGAACCAAGUUGCUCAAAAUAAUAAUAUCCUUUCAGAUGAGGAUGGAUUUAAUAAACGCAGCCUUUGUGAACGAAAAGUUACAACAAUGGUUCUGCAAAUGAUUGUAAAUAACUUUUUUACAGUUCCUUGCUAACCCCCCCCCCAAAAAAAACAUUGCAUUUCUUUACUAUAAGAUCAUCUAUUCAUAUUUGUGAAUGUUAUUUGAUUAAAUCUCAUCAGCAGCAGAACAAUAAAAUUGUAAGAUCCCCCAUUCUCUGUUUUCAACUUGUUUGCUUCAAUGUGCAUGUUCCAACACAGAUGUUGAGCCUAGACUCAAUAGUGGUGGGAAAAUGUGGUUAAUUUAUAUUUGGUUUUCUAAAGAAAUGUGAAACGGUACUUACUGGAAACAAGAUAUAGCUAGCUGCAUAACCACAGCUCGAGCGUGUGAUGAGUUGGUUAUCCAAAGCUGCUGGAUGAUUAGUUUUUAUCUUGAACCGUUUUCUGCUCUAUUUGUGGGUUCGGCUCCUGCCAUCAAAUUGAAGAAUAUGACAGCGAUGGCAGACAAAACGAGUCCAUAAUGGUAGCUUAUGGUUCUUUCAUUUGUAGAAUUAUAGCCCUAUGACAAAACAAGCUCUUACUUCUGUUUGUGUACUUUUUACCUUGAAACAAUCAAAUUAAAUGAAAUCAGAGUUGA